rnacentral:rRNA from 1 species
UACAGAGGGUGCAAGCGUUGCUCGGAAUCAUUGGGCGUAAAGGGUAGGUAGGUGGUCUCGUUUGUCUGGGGUGAAAGCCCAGGGCUUAACCCUGGAAGUGCCCCGGAAACGGCGAGACUGGAGUACUGGAGAGGGUCGUGGAAUUCCCGGUGUAGCGGUGAAAUGCGUAGAGAUCGGGAGGAACACCAGAGGCGAAGGCGGCGACCUGGACAGUUACUGACACUCAACUACGAAAGCGUGGGGAGCAAAC